CGUGAGGAAGGUAGUGUAGUUAAUAGCUGCAUUAUUUGACGUUAGCGACAGAAGAAGCACCGGCUAACUCCGUGCCAGCAGCCGCGGUAAUACGGAGGGUGCGUAGCGUUAAUCGGAAUUACUGGGCGUAAAGCGCAUGCAGGUGGUUUGUUAAGUCAGAUGUGAAAGCCCGGGGCUCAACCUCGGAAUAGCAUUUGAAACUGGCAGACUAGAGUACUGUAGAGGGGGUAGAAUUUCAGGUGUAACGGUGAAAUGCGUAGAGAUCUGAAGGAAUACCAGUGGCGAAGGCGGCCCCCCUGGACAAAGACUGACGCUCAGAUGCGAAAGCGUGGGGAGCAAACAGGAUUAGAUACCCCUGGUAG
rnacentral:rRNA from 1 species